UUAAAGUUUUAUCCUUGCUUAGAGAUUUAUUAUAGUAAUGAUUAUAUGUGAGUUUUUGAAAUCUUAAUGAGUCAGUUUCAGUAGGUUAAAUUAAAAAAUUGAUAUUUCAAGAUUUAGUGAUUAUUUUAUUGUUGGUUAAAAUNNNCGUGCCAGCMRCCGCGGUUAUACGAUUGACAUAAAUAAAUUUUGUUAGUAUGUAGUUGGAAKUUUAGAAAAAAUUGUUUAUUUUGCAUUAAUGGGUGAAAUUAUAAUGUUUAAUAAUAUUUAAUUGUUGUUUAAAGCUAUUAAACUUUUUUAAAUAAACUAGGAUUAGAUACCCUAUUAUUUUAAGUGUAAAUUUGAAGCUGGGGUAGUAAGUGGUGUUCAUAAAACCCAAAGGAUUUGGCGGUAUUUUAGUCUAAUUAGAGGAAUCUGUCCUAUAAAUGAUAAUACACGAAGAUUUUUCUUGUUUUUGUAGACAGUUUGUAUAUCGCCGUUAUCAGAAUGUAUUUUGAAAUAAAAUUUUCAAUUUUUUUAAUAAAAACAUAGUUCAGGUCAAGGUGCAGCUUAUGAAUAAGAAGAGAUGGAUUACAAUUUAAUUUAUGAAUAUGGAUAUAACGUGAGAUAUUAAGUGAAGGUGGAUUUAACAGUAAAUUUUUGUAUUAAAGAAUUUUGAAUUAGGCUCUAAAAUGUGCACACAUCGCCCGUCACUCUCGUUUAUAAGAUGAGAUAAGUCGUAACAAAGUAGGUGUACUGGAAGGU
rnacentral:ncRNA from 1 species